rnacentral:rRNA from 1 species
AUUGAACGCUGGCGGCAGGCCUAACACAUGCAAGUCGAGCGCGCGGCGGACGGGUGCGUAAUGUCUGGGGCUCUGCCCGCUAGACGGGGAUAACUCCUGGAAACCGUGGCUAAUACCGCAUCCUCUCGUCUGAACCCCUCUGGGCUUAGCUAGUAGGUGGGGUAAAGGCUAACCUAGGCGACGAUCUCUAGCUGGUCUGACAGGAUGAUCAGCCACACUGGGACUGAGACACGGGCCAGACUCCUACGGGAGGCAGAAGUGGGGAAUAGUGCACAAUGGGCGAAAGCCUGAUGCAGCCAUGCCGCGUGUAUGAAGAAGGACAUAGGGUUGUAAAGUACUUUCAGCGGGGAGGCGUUACCCGCAGAAGAAGCACCGGCUAACUCCGUGCCAGCAGCCGCGGUAAUAC